AACAGUUACCGCGCGUACUUUGUCACGUUCGCGUCGCUUAUCGUGGUCACAAGCUCACCGUGAGACUUGAACUGCUUUUCCUCAGUGAUCCUGAGCAUUUCGUCUUCGCUUCAAGGCUCUUUUAAUUCCUUGCAUUGUAUCACUGGUGAAGGUCAUCAAUGAAGAAACGCUUCAUGGAUCAGACCAAAGCCCAAUUACCGCAGAAAGCUUGCAUUCCCUGCAAUUUUUCAUCCAUCAUCCUUUCAUAAAAGUAUUUCUUUACGUCUCAUUUCUUGAAGUAUUCACAUCUGGAAUCUAAAUAAAAAUACUCAAGAGAGAACCAGUCUGCACUGCGACAUAAUUAGUAUACAAAAUCCAAACUAAUAUACUGAUAUACUCAUAUACAACAAAUAUAUAGAUAUUGUUUCCAAAUGGUUUCCAAGGUAUUGGAAGAGAAAUCAAUGUGGCUAACAUAGUGCAACCCCUAACGAACAAUCCUCGACUCUUUCUAUUAUUCUCAAUACAUGACAUUUAAAGAGAUAUAUGGAAGCAAUGUUUUAAAACCAUCACACUGGAACCUCACAUAACUUGCUCAGAAGAAAGAAGCAACCAACCACGUCAAACAUAUUUUAACCGCUACUAAUCUCUUCUAUAUUCUUCCUAUCAUUGCGGAUAUUAAAUUCAAAGGAAUCUACAGCAUCGUUAUCUGCAAAAAACUACUUGAUAUUCAUAAAACUUGGUCAGAACAAAGACGAGAAGCAACAAACGAUGUCAAGCAUACUCAAAUCACUAUUAACUCUUCUUCCUUCUUUCCAUUAUUGCUGAUAUAUAAAAUUUAAAGAGAUCUACGCAAUCAGUAUCCCCAUAAAGUGGUUUGAAGCUCACAUAGCCUCCUCAGAACAAAGAAGAGAAGCGAUCAUUAUCGUCAAACAUACUCAAACCAUUACUAGCUCCUUCUACGUUCUUUCUAUCAUUGCCGAUAUAUAAUAUGUAAAUGAAUAUAGAGAAGCAACAUCUGCAGAAAGCCACUCGGAUGUGUCAUAUCUUCAGAACAAAGAAGAGAAGUAACCAACAUCGUCAAACACACUGUAAUCGCCACUAAAUUGUUCGUCUCAUUAUUGCUGAGAUAUAACAUUUCAAGGAAUCUACAGAAUCGAUAUCUUCAAAAAGACAUAAUAUACUUCUUCAGAACAAAGAUCAGUAGCCAGCGCGGUCAAAGAUACUCCAAACACUACCAAACUCUUCUCUGUUAUCCGUGUCGCAACAUAGAAGCGAUUAGUUAUUAAGAGAAAGCGACAGAGCAGCGACGAGUAUAACUAGAGAAUAAAAAGGUUCUGGAGCUGGGUAAGCGACGUGGAUCCUAGUUCCGAAGAGGCAGCUUAAACGUGGAACGUUUUUCGGUUCAGAAGAAAUUCCUUUUGCCUUUGUCAGCGUUCCUCUGCACGAGAUAAAGGAUUCAGCCAGCCAGAAUUCGUCCGUGCAAACGAUAGAGAAGACAGGAACAGCGUGGCCGCGGGGAUAUUCGAUUGAAUAGCCGAAUUCGAUUACGUUUCGUGUUGGAGAAAAUGGUUUCCGAUGGCGAGAGAUGAAGAAACCCGAGGACAGAGUAUAUUUGCUGUAUGUCGCAUGGGCGUGUUCGUUGAAGUUGUAUGGAUGAGGAGGAUGUAGAGGUAAAAGGAAGUGAAAAUGGACAAUUAAAGGAAACAUGGGCAUCGGUAAUGCCAUUGGCAAUAGCACGCAGGAGUUCUGCAGCGACAAGUAUAAGGACUUUCAGCCUCCAGAUGGAGAGCUGUGGUGUGAACCGGUCUGGGACUCUUUGCUCUGCUGGCCACCGACCAAAGCAUCUACGACGACCAAACAGAAAUGCCCGUUCGAAGAUGUAUUCGACGCAACCAAAUCGGUGGAGAAGAAGUGUGGUUACAAUGGUCGAUGGGAGGGUCAGAAUGGGACGAAUAACGAGGAAUACUCGCACGGCUGGGCAAACUACACAACUUGUUUGACACCAGAAAUGCUCCGGCUGCAUGGAAAAGUUUACACCAACACCGUCGAGGGUAACAUGAAGCUGGACAUAGCUGAAAAAACUCGAACGUUAGAGUUCGUCGGUUUAAGCAUCUCUCUGGUAGCUUUGCUUGCUUCACUUGCCAUAUUCUGUCGUUUUAGGUCCCUGAGAAACACAAGGACCAGAAUACACAAGAAUCUGUUCGUCGCCAUGGUUGUCCAGGUCUUGAUUAGAUUAACACUGUACAUAGACAUUGAGGUCCUCAGGAGGAAGACUUAUGGUAUUCAACAUGGCAUUGGAAACACCCCUGUGCUCUGUGAGGCCAGCUACGCCCUUUUGGAGUACACCAAAACCGCUAUGUUCAUGUGGAUGUUCAUAGAGGGACUGUUCUUGCAUAAUAUGGUCACUGUAACGGUGUUCCAAGAAAACUCAUACUACAGGAUGUAUCGGUUCAUCGGAUGGGGAUGUCCCGUCAUAAUGACGCUAGUUUGGGCCAUCAUCACCGCCUUCUAUUACCAUCCAAAGUCUAAAUUUACCAGAUGCUGGUCUGGAUACAAUCUGUCUUCCUACUUUUGGAUCCUAGAGGGACCUAGAUUUGCAGUGAUAUUGCUCAAUUUUCUCUUUCUACUGAACAUCGUCAGAGUGCUCGUGGUGAAGCUUCGACAGAGUCACACCAGCGAAAUCGAGCAAGUCUUGAAAGCUGUGAGGGCAGCUGUGGUGCUUCUGCCUUUACUAGGCAUCACCAACGUGCUCUUCAUGAUCGAGGUACCCCUGCACAACGUGAAGAAGUUCGCUUUGUGGUCUUACUCCACGCAUUUCCUUCAAUCCUUUCAAGGUCUCUUCAUCGCAACACUGUACUGCUUUUUAAACGGCGAGGUGAGGCUCGCUCUGGACAAAACUAUCUCUGUCUACCUUUCUCUGAGAGGAACUGACUUACAAGCAAGAAGACAGUCGACAUUCAGUGGUUGUCAACCCCAAAGAAUCGCGUCGGUGAUCGAGAUGGAGGAAGAGGAGAUGAGACCCAGCGGAUGGAUAAGACUGUGCUGUCGAGGUGGAAAUACUCCACCACCGGACCGACCUGCCGAGUGAGUAAUGAUCGAGGAAACUUCGCCAAUCCGCACUUAGAUCAUUACCAACAUCGAAGGUUGAUCCUCUUCGCAACAUCGUACCAGUAGAACAGCUGUCUGACCAUGGAGCCUCUCUGGACUCCUGAACCUUGGACAAAAGCUUCAAAGUUCCAUUCAGACCAUGAAGAUGAGCUGUGAGCUUCUGUGGAUCAUGAAAAGUGGACAACCUUAAAUUAAUCUAAAGACUCAAUCGUUCAACUAUCAAUUGGAAAUUUAAUUAGAGUAAUGGAUGAAGAUGAUGAGCACAGCGUAAAACUUGAUCUGAUUAACAUUCUGAAUGUUUCAAUAAACUUCUUUACUCGAGCAGCAUGACCAUAAAAUUUUGUAAUGUCUAGAGACAUUGUAAGAUAUCUAUGAAGUGUUAAUUAAUAAUUUACUGAUGUCUGAUUGAGUGGAUAUUGAGGAAGAAUGAUGGAUGGAAAUCUGGAAUUUGAAGAUUUUUUGUUGAAAAAUUGAAAAGUAAAUUGUAUGUGACAUAAAUCAUAGUGAGUGGCAUGAAGAAAUUGUUGAAGAUGAUUAUUAAGAAUUGGUGAAUCGUGUGAAUAUAUACUUCUCUUCAUUUUCUUCUUAAUGAGAAUUAUUUCAAGUGACAUAUCAUAGAGAAUUGAAAUGGUACUUCUAAAAGAAUUACUAAUAAUUAAUCAAAUUAAGGAAGUUAAUUAUUUUAAAUAAAAAUGAGUUGUAUAUAUUGAGAACAGAUUUUACAAGAGACACGUUCAAGUGAGAUUCAAUUUAUUUUUUUAUAUCUUCAUUUGGAAGAAAAACGACAGAAGAGAGACGUUUAUAGAUGUAAUUGACGUACGUGUAUUGCUGUUUCUAUUUUUUAAAAUAUAAUCGUGGCUGAUAAUGCAUCAAUUGCGUCCUAUGCUAUUUAUCUAAUACAUUAGAGGAUGCACCAUGUGCAUCUUGGGAAAAAAUUAAUUCCAAUCAGAAUGUAAAAGAUAUUUGGCAAAAUAAGGAUUUCAAAUUAAACAAUGCAAAAUGUCAAAUAAAUUAAGAGAACAUUCUGUAAUCUAUGCUUAUAAAAAAUUGUUAUAAUAAAAAUAUCAUUUUUUCUGGAGUUAACCCAGACAAAAGGAAAAUAAAAUAAAACUGGGAAACCAGAAGAUUUUCAAAUAUACUACUAUAAAUAUUUAUUUUAUGGGUGAACUGAAGCUUUGAUAAUUAAUUCUUGAUCAAAAAAUUUUCAUUGAAUAGCUGUAACACUCUCUUCAUGAAUUAUAGACUGACUAUUGCGACAGAACGUACUGUGUAAUAUUUUUAAGCUUUUGUCAAACGGCCCAGGGUAAUUAAUUUGUAACGCUAGCUAAUUAGCGAGCGCAUCAUCGCUUGUAUGACUUUGUAGCUGUGCGUUUUUUUAAAAUGUAAAUAAAUUAUCGUGACAUGUA